CCUACGGGAGGCAGCAGUAGGGAAUAUUGCUCAAUGGGGGAAACCCUGAAGCAGCAACGCCGCGUGGAGGAUGACGGUUUUAGGAUUGUAAACUCCUUUUUUUAGAGAAGUUUAUGACUGUAUCUAACGAAUAAGCACCGGCUAACUCCGUGCCAGCAGCCGCGGUAAUACGGAGGGUGCAAGCGUUACUCGGAAUCACUGGGCGUAAAGAGUGCGUAGGCGGGGUAAUAAGUCAGAUGUGAAAUCCUGUGGCUUAACUACAGAACUGCAUUUGAAACUGUUACUCUGGAGUGUAGGAGAGGUAGGUGGAAUUCUUGGUGUAGGGGUAAAAUCCGUAGAUAUCAAGAAGAAUACUCAUUGCGAAGGCGACCUGCUGGAACAUUACUGACGCUGAUGCACGAAAGCGUGGGGAGCAAACAGGAUUAGAUACCCGAGUAGUC
rnacentral:rRNA from 1 species